rnacentral:rRNA from 1 species
CCCUUAGAUGUUCGGGGCCGCACGCGCGCUACAAUGAUGAAUUCAACGAGUUUAUAACCUUGGUUGAAAAGCCUGGGUAAUCUUUUGAACUUUCGUCGUGAUGGGGCUAGACCCUUGCAAUUAUUGGUCUCCAACGAGGAAUUCCUAGUAAACGCAAGUCAUCAGCUUGCAUUGAUUACGUCCCUGCCCUUUGUACACACCGCCCGUCGCACCUACCGAUUGAAUGGUCCGGUGAAAUCUUCGGAUUGAGACUUUGAUUUCUUCACGGAAAACGCUGUUUUAAAAAGUUGAUUAAACCUUACCAUUUAGAGGAAGGUGAAGUCGUAACA